rnacentral:misc_RNA from 1 species
UUUUUAAAAAAAAAAAAAAAAAAAAAAGAGUACAAAAACUUGAAUGCAUUGCUUGACGUUUGUAUUAGCAGCCAGGCGCUUCCAUUGGCUCAACAUGCACUCCUCAUGAUUGAAAGGAGCACUAUCAUAAAAUUUGAAUUGGGAAUGGAUAUUUUCCAAGGGCUUGAUGCUUCUCGUGACGAAAUCAACAGUCCUUCACUUGUGAGACGCCCGCAGAUAGCAUCCGAUCCAUAUUAUCAAUACGGCGUUGUAUAGAUUUUAGGAGAGAGUUCAAUGAAGAAACUCUCUUUCUAACUCCUGAAAUCUUCGCAGCAUGCUGCAUAAUGAAGAGCAAGGGUGCAUCUUCUAACAACUGAUCAAGCUCUCGGGUUAGACGAUCUAAGGCAGAAUCAAGUUGGUCUUGGCUUUUGAGAGUGUCUUGAGCUUUAGAAUCGAAAUCCCUUAUAAGACUGGCAAGCAUUGUAGAUAAACCCUUGGCUAAUGCAUCGCUGCUCUUGUUGAUUUCAUUUUCAGUGUUGGGCUUAGAUUGGUGAUCUUCAGGGUUGAUUUCACAGGGAUCCUUACUUCCAUUAGAUGAAACUGGAGGGUCUAUUUGAACAGAAACAGAGAUGCUACUUUUGUCGUUGGGAUCGAACGGAUCUUCUGGAGUCUCCAUUCUCAAGGGGGAUUUCGAGCAUCGGAGUGAGGAAGCAAAGGCGUGACAGG